rnacentral:tRNA from 1 species
GGGCUGGUGGCUCAGUGGUAGAGGUCUCGCCUUCCAUGUGGGAGACCCAGGUUCGAUUCCCAGUCAGUGCA